rnacentral:lncRNA from 1 species
UUUUCUUCUUCUUCUUGUCUAAAUAUUUUUGUUAAAUUUUCUCUUAGCGUGUGUUUUUUGUUUUGUUUUAUUUCAUCUUUAAGUUUUAAUUUUUAGUUUAGGCAGUUAUUGAUUUUAUUUUAGUUAGCUAUUUAAAUUCUUGUUUAUUUUUGAAUUUUUGGAAGAAAAAAAUAUAAAAUAUAAAUUUUCGGUUACUAUUUGUGAAUUUUUCUUGCUAACCCUUGCAUUAGCUACUUUUAUAUGAUACUAAGAGGUUAAGUUCCAAAAGACCACUUGCUAUUUGAAGCAGAAAUUGAGAAGGUGGCAAAAGAGAAUCAAGAAGAUAAUAGAGAGGACUCUUCAACAUCUUCUUUUUCCAUUGAUAUUUUUCAGGAGAAUAACAACAUGGCGGGAAAGGAAACACCACCUCCUAGGAGAACUCUUGGAGAUUACGCCAUACAUCAAGGGCCCAGACACUUUUCUAGCAUUGUAGUGCCUGCAUCUACCAGGGUCUUAAAGAUGAAGUAUGCGUUCCUUACCCUCAUUAGUAUCAAUCAAUUAAUGACAAUGGAUAAUGAGGAUCCUCAUACACACUUGGCUAUUUUUUAUGAAUUGGUGGGAACUAUGGGUUUCUAGUCAGGUGAUCUUGAGAGUGUAUACAUGCGUUUAUUUCCUUUUUCUUUGGCAAGGAAAGCAAAUGAGUGGCAUCCUAAUCAGAGUUUAACCAGAUGGAAGGAUGUGGAGGAAAUUUUUUUGCAAAGAUUUUUCCCAAUCUCUCGUUACAUUAAAGCUAAGUCUAAAAUAUAUAUGUUGAGACAAGGAGCGGAGGAGUCUUUCUGUGAGACAUGGGAGAGAUUCAAGAGGAUGCUAAGAAAAUGUCCAAAUCAUGGGUUUGAAGACAUUGCUCAACUGAGCAUAUUUAUCAAUGAUCUCAGAUCUGAUACAAAAAUGCUCCUAGAUGCCGAUGCAGAUCAAGCAACAAGGAUUAUUGAAGCUUUGGCCACAACUAAUUAUCAAGCUCAACAUGAUAGACAAGGUCAUCAAAAGAGAGGAAUAUUGGAGUUUAAUACUGCAAAUGCAUUGCUCGCAAAAUAAAAUUCUGACAUAGCAGCUUGAGCAACUGAUCGCAUGGCCAAACUACCCCAGAAGUUGCAUGUUGUUCGAUCAUCCCAAAGUCAGAAUAUACCUAUCAGGUAUGAUUUUUGUGGAGGUGAUCAUCCUAAUGGUCACUGUUCUUAUCAGAUCAACUCACCUGAAGCUUAGGUAAAUUAUAUGGGAAAUCAAGGAAGGCAAGGCGGUUUUUCCAACAAUUAUUAUCAAGGUCGGAAAAAAAAUAAAAAUCAGAACUUUGGGUGGAAACAAGACUAUAAUUCAUCCAACAAGCAAGGGUCUUUCCAACAACCGCAUCAAUCCAAUUAUCCAUCCAUCCCCGACAGAAUGAGUAAAGUUGAAAAUGUUUAGUCAAAGAUUGUGAGCUCACAAGAAAAUAGCAUGGCCACGAUUAGGUGUAUGCAGACCCAGAUAGGACAGAUAGCCAAACAAAUGGCACAAAUUGCACAAAUUGUAGACGAAAAAAUUGGCCAAUUCUCAGCCAACACUUCAUCCAACCCUAAGGAGCAUUUUAAUAAAAUCACUACUGAGGGUGAUAAAAAAAUAAGAGAGUAAGAUGAUGAGAUGGUAAAAUUUGAGGAAGAAAAUGGAGAACAUAGAAAAGAGGGAGAAAAAUGUGAAGUUGUAGAGAGCAGAGUUUCAAAAGAAUUAUCUCAUUCUCCUAUGCAUGUAAAAAAAGAAAAGAAAUGAUUAUUUUAUGAUUUGCUUCCAAAAAAUUAUUUUGCAGGAUGGUUGGAGAAAAAUACAUUCUUUGAUUGAAUUAGAAGAAUAAUAUGUUGUUUUGAGGACAAAGAUAUAGAGCCGAAAGCUGGAAGCAGUUUUUUUGAAGCUAAAUGACUUGCCAAAGAAAUUCAGGGAUCCGGAGAGUUUCAAUAUUUUUGUGUCAAUUGGUGAUGUAUUUGUGGGUAAUGCCUUAUUGGAUUUGGGGUCAAGUAUAAAUUUGAUGCCACUAACCAUGUUAAGACAGAUAGGUGACUUGGAGGUUAAACCCACCAAGAUGUAGUUACAGUUGGCGGACAGGACGAUGAAGCACCCUUAUGGUGUAGUUGAAGAUGUCCUCAUGAAAGUAGACAAAUUCAUAUUUCUGAUGGAUUUUGUUAUCUUGGACAUGAAAGAAGAUGAGGAGGUCCCUUUGAUUCUCGGCAAACCUUUCAUGAAGACUGCUAAAGUCAUAGUGGAUGAAGAUAAAUGAGAACUUAGAGUAAGGUCUCAUGAUGAAGAGGUAAGAUUUAAUCUUUUUAAUGAUGUAACUAAUUGUAUUGCAAAUAAGAAUGGAGGGCAAGAGGAAAUUUCAAAAGAUGGUGACCAAAUAGAGGGCUCAAAGCCAAAGGAGAAAGUUACACGAUAUGAAAAGUUAAAGGCAAAAGGACACCAGAACAAUCAAGGGAAGCCAGUUGAGGAAGAGGAAUAUUGGUUAGGACAACCUAUUAUGCUUAACGCGGGUAGGGGGAAAGGAAUGAAGAAGACGAAGAAAUUUUAGGUCAUCGAGGAAUUAAAGAUGGACGGAAAAAUUGAAGUGGGAGAGUCGUAUUCAAGGAAAACGAAAGUGAUAACAAGAGCACUGGCCAAGCAGAAUAAUUUUCCCCCUUGAGAAAAACUUUUGUCAAGCUAUAUAACGUUAAAAGGGUGCUCACUGGGAGGCAACUUAAUCCACAUUUUAGUUUUAUGUUGUUUUGUUACCUUUGUUGAUUUUAUUUUUUCAAAAAUAUAAAUAAAUAAUUAAAAAUUAAAAUAAUAAUAAUAAUAAAAUAAAAAAUCUUAUAUGCCUCCUAAUAAUUUUGCAGGUUAUGUAUUUUGACCUAGGAACAGAUCCUAUUAUUCAAGGGGGCAGAUCUAGCAAAUGAAGCAAGACUGUAGAUAAAGAUUUUAACAAAAAGUUGGAUGACUUCUAAAGAAGAGAUGAUUGAGCAAAAAUAUGGUUUUAUCUUUUUAUUUCUCUUUUCUUUUCAAUUAUUUGAAUUUUUUUUUUCUGUUUAGUAUUUAUUUUAUUUUAUUUUUCAGUUAUUUUGUUUUAUGUUUAUUUUGCUUAUUUGUUUAGUUUGUUUUAAUUGCUUAUUUUGUAUUUUAAAUAAAUUUUCUGUUUUGGUAGUUUGUUAGUUUCAGGUCUUGAAUUAUUUUGAAUAAAUUUCAGUUUUAAUUUAAUUUGUUUUCUAGUUUUAUUUUUCUCAAAUAAAAAAAAGAACUACAAUAUUAAAUUUGAAUUUUGAAAAAGGAAUUUGUGUUUAAUUAUUAGAUAGUGGGAUGAAUUAGACACAAGUUAGAAAAGAAGAUAUGAUUGAAUCCCUAUUCAAAUGUAGUUGAAAUUAUAACAAGAUGAUUUAUUAGGACAGAGAAUGACAAGACAAAAAUGAAUGAGACCAAUCAAACCAAGUGAGUGUGUGAACCUUAAACAGUUUUGAGGGUUUUACUGAUGAAUUGACAGUUAUGGUUGCUUAAUUUUUAUUUUUGUUACAUCAUAAAAGAACAUGAAGAUGAUUCAAGCAUUUGUUUGUGUUAAUUAGGAACGCAGGGCCAAAUAGCCAACCUUUAUCUUAUUAGAAUCCCAUUUUUUUUUAUAUCCCCUUUGAGCCAAGAUUUUUUUUGUUAAUAUUGCACCUUACCCUUUAAUGAUAUAUCCUACCCUUUAGCAUGUUUGAGGAAGGAGAACAUAAAUGCAAUCAAUGUUAUCAAGCUCUAGGGUUAACUCGUAAACCCUUACGAGUUUAAGGGUUUGCUAAAGGGUCACGAGUCGACUCGAGAGUAAACUCGGUUUUGAGUAAACCUGGUGUAGACUCGGUCAGACUCGGUGAACUUGCGAGUUUGAGACUGAGUCACCGAGUUCUGAAAAAAAGAAGCCCAAAAUGGUGUUUCCUCGUUGUCAUUGUCACGCUGCUCGCGCAUCACCGCACCACGUUGUUCGCCGCCGUGCCUCGCGACGCCAUCGCACCUCGCCACACCUCACGAUGCCACCGCAUCUCUUCACACCCUGUGACGCCACCUAGCCACGCCGCUGCGCUUCGCGACGCCACCUCGCAUCAUAGGUAAUGCAACUGUUGUGGGUUUCAUGAUGUGGGGCAUUAGUUUUAGGGUUUAGGGUUCAACCAACCGAUCUCCCCUACCGCAACCGAACGUGCUAUGGAGGUCACCAUGUCACCCUUGGCGGUGUUGGGGAGUGACAUGCAAUUUGCACGAGGAGUGAAGGUUGCGCUGCCCGGGCCGACCCGGGAGGUCAUUCAAGCCAUUUCGAAGGUGAAUUUGCUGAAGGGUAGAGUGGAGAUGUUGUGUUGCGCCCUUGUCAUGGUUCAGUUGGGGUCUCAGGACCGAGAAAGCCAUACCGAGGAGAUAUCCCGGUUGGAGCUGUCCGAGCCUUCGGCCAGCUUAAAGCAAUCUCUUGCUGUCAACUCUGAGUAUGUGGAGAAGCUUGCUCGGGACGUUGCCGAGAAGGAGAAGGUUCAACAAGAGGCGGUUGAGGCUGAGCACCAGCGGCGGAAAUGGCGGCUGAGGUGGCUCGGUUGAAGAAGGUGGUGGUGGAAGGUGAAGGCAAGAUCUCGGUGCUAAAUGUCGAGGUCACUCGAUUGGAGGCUAUUAAGGAGGAGGUCGAGACGGAGCUGGAAAGCAACUUCGACCGGACCUUGGAGCUGCUCAAGCAGAGCUUCCUUUAGGCCGUCCGACAGGCCCAUGUGUUGUAUGGGGGCCGUCGAUGUAUGACAGCUCAAUCCUGAGAACGAGGUGUUCGAGGGUCAGAUCAUGCCGAGGGACGAGGCGAGGGCAUUGGCGGUCGCGACGAAGGAGCAGCCUGCACCGACGGGGGGAGCUGAAGGUGAUUACCAGUAGACUUAGGUUUUUAGUUGUUGUUCCCUUCGGUCGGGGUGUGGCUCUUUUGUACUUCUUCCUCCGAGGCCGGGGUGUGGCCUUCUCCCCAUCUUUUUAUUAAUGAAUCAGUCGUUUUCUUUGCAUAUUGUGAAUGGUCGAUCAGAUAAUUAAUUGAUUAAAGCGAAUUUAACAAGUUAAGUUAACGGUCAGUAACUUAUCUGAACAAUAGAUAAUUGAAUAAGUUAAAUAGGCGGUCAACCUUUGCUCGAAUCCUUUUAAGGUUUAGGCUUGGUUUUGAUGCAACCAAGGUUGUGAGGUGUUGGCAGGGUAUGCCGAUUAAGGCUUCAUCCGGACUGAACUGAGUGUGCAAGGUGUUGGAAGGGUAUGCCUAUUAAGGCUUCUUUCAGACCAAACCAAGUAGUGAGGUGUCGGUAGAGUAUGCCGAUUAAGGUUUCAUCCAGACUGAACCGAGUGUGCAAGGUGUUGGCUGGGUAUGCUUGUUAAGGCUUCAUCAAGACCAAACCAAGUUGUGAGGUGUCGGCAGAGUAUGUCGAUUAAGGCUAUAUCCAGACCGAACUAAUACUUGAGAUGUGCAAACUCAAAUUAUUAAUGAAGAGAACCGCCUCGUUAAAACCUUAAUGACCGAGAACCCUUCUUAGGGAAAAACGGUUGGGUCAGGAAAGAGUGUGUAAACUUUAUUAAUUUAACUGUAGUAGAAUUUGAGGUGUGUGGCAUUCCACGUCCUCCGUACAAUUUUACCCGAUAGCCACUCUAAAUGGUAUGCCCCCGCAGUUGCAACUUCUCGGAUUCUGAAGGGUCCUUCCCAAUUGGAUGAGAAUUUGCCUUCGUUUCUUCUUGCGUCGCUUCUUAUUCUCCAGACGAGAUCUCCUAUCUGGAAGCUCCUCAAUCGGACUUUGGUGUUGUAGCGUCUUGCCAUCCGAAGUUUGCAUGCUGCCUCUCAGAUCUUGCUUUUGUCGUGGAGCUCGUUGACAAAAUCAAGCUUGACCGACAGGCUUUCCUCAUUGAGGGUUAGGUCGAACAUCGUUCUUCGGAAGGUAGGCUCACCUACCUCGACCGAGAUCAUUGUUUCAAUCUCGUACGUCAGGCUGUAUGGUGUUUCUUGUGUGGUUGUCUAGGGGGGGUGCAUCGGUACGCCCAUAGGACUUCUAUCAAUUCUUCAUUCCAUCGACCCUUUGCCUUGUCGAGCUGCUUCUUCAGUUCAUUUAGGAUGACCUUGUUAGUAGCCUCAACCUGCCCGUUAGUUUUCGGGUGCUCGACCGAGGCUGAUGCUCGACGUACUGGACGGUAGGGGUCAUCCAAUUGUCGGUAUCAGUAUCGGUGAUCGCUAGGAAUUCAGUCUUUGAUACGCUAGGGUGCCUUAGCCAUAUAUGCAUGGCUGAUCUCUGGUGGUUCUUCUUCUUGGUUACCGAUAGUCGAGAUAGGACAUCGGCCUGCUUGUUCUCUUGCCUUGGGAUGUGUUCCACCGGUGCUUUCUCGAAACAGAAAAUGUUGUUACCAGCGGCGUGGUAGUACUGUUGUAGCAGAGGUUCUUUAACCUCGAAAUCUCCCUUGAUUUGGCCGACCAUAACUUGGGAGUCACUUUUGCAUGUUACUUCGUGAGCUCCCAUAUCAUAUGCUAGGGUUAGCCCGGCGAGUAGAGCCUCGUACUUGACCUGGUUAUUGGUGCCCUUGAAUCCGAAUUGGAGUGCUUACUCCAAUAGGAGGUCGUCCAGUCCUUCGAGGAUGACUCUUUCUCCACACGCAAUCUUGUUGGAGGAGUCGUCAACUUACAAUGUCCAUCCUGCCGAGAGGUCUGACAGAGGUGCGAGCUCGACUGAGAAGUCGGCCAGCCAUUGAGACUUGAUGGCGCCUCUCGGUUGGUACCAGAUGUUGAAUUCAGAGAGCUCAACUGACCAUCCUAUCAUUCAUCCUGCAAGGUCGGGUUUAGAUAAAAUUUUAAAAAUGGGAUAGUCAGUCCUUACCAGUGGUUUUGGAAAUAGGGGUGCAUCCGCCUUGUCGUUAGGACGAGGGCAAAAGCAACUUUCUCUAUCAUCUGAUAUCUUGUUUUGGCCGCAUGAAGCGUUCGGCUGACAAAGUAUACCAACCAUUCUUCCCCCUCUACUUCCUGCACUAACGCGACACUGACCGCUUCUUCCGAGACCGCUAGAUACACUAGUAUAGGCUGAUCAAAUCUCGCCUUCUGAAUGACUGUCAGUGACGAUAGGAAGUCCUUCAACCAUUUGAAGAUCUCUUCACACUUUUCAUCCCAACUGAACUUGGCUGCUUUGCGGAGUAGUUGUACCAUCGGUCUCGUUCGCUUGGCCAGGCGGGGUACGAAUCUAGAGAGGGUCAUGAAGCGCCCUAGGAGUUGCUACACCUCCUUUAUGUUUGGCUUGGUGACUAUGACGACAUUGGCCAACCAGGUUGUGUACCGGGCCUCGCAGAUAAACCCAGCCGACAGGAGCUUUUGGGCUUCCUCUUUAGCUGCAAGACAUUUCUCGACGCCAUAAUCCUUCUUCUUCUUCUGCGCGAUCAUUCGCGCUUCCUUAAAUACCGACAACUUGUGAGUGAUAAUGUCCAGACUUAACCUCGGCAUGUCGGAUGGGGUCCACGCGAACAAAUCUACAUUACUUUUCAGCGUGGCGUGCAUUAGAUUGGCCUCAGCGGUUGCAAUGGUCGUGCCGACGCUGAUCUUGUGCUCCUCGUCGAGGAGGGACACCCGACGCAACUCUUCCCUAGCUUCCAACCUGUCUUCAGUCGUUCAGGGAUCUAGGUUCACCAGAGCGACUGUAGGUAUUGGUAGUGUUGGUUGGGUUUUUUUGGGAGAACCGUGCCUCCGAGAAGAUUUGCGUUUAGGGGAGCGAUCAUCCCUCAAAGGCUCCACCGUAAGACUCUCGGCGUAACAUUUCUCGCCACCUUUUGGUUAACAUGGACCGUGAGGAUGUCUCUUGACGGCAAAGGGAACUUCAUCGCCAGGUGGGGUGUUGACACGAUGGCCAUCAGCCAGUUGAUAGAUGGUCGUCCAAUGAGGAUGUUAUAGGAAGUGUUUGCAUCAAUCACCAAGUAUCAGAUCUUGAUGGUUUUACAAUUAUUUUCCUUGCCAAAGGUGGUAUAAAGCUCAAUGUAGCCUUUAAUACCCACCCUUUCGCUCGAGAAACCGACUACAUGCCAUUUCGGCCUCGGGUAUCCUCAUAGCUUUGAAGGUCUUCCAAUAGAGGAUGUCUACUGAACUUCCCUGGUCCACUAGCGUUUUCCUUAUGGUGAACCUGUCGGUAUCGAGCGAUAUCACCAUAGGAUCGUCUUGCCAAUAGUCAACACCUUUGAAGUCAUCGUCAGUGAAGAUGAUGGGCGACAUCCUCAGUCAUAAUGACACCGCGUUCACCUCCUGCACCGCAUGAAGGUGCUUCUUCCGGGCGUUGUUGGUGCUUCCCCCACGGGCAAAUCCGUCGAUGAUUGUGUUGAUGACUUCUCGGUUCCCCCUGCUCUCGGUUUCUCGUGAGGGAUCGUCUCUUUGUGGAGGGUCAUCCCUCCUUUACCGUCGCUUGGGAGGUCGGUCGUCUCGUAGCCUUGGUGAUGGCAUUUUCAUGAAGUUCUUCUUGAAUCAAUGUAGAGUAUGGGGCGGAAGCAAUGUAUGAGAGUGAGCAAGAUCCUCCUAAGAGUGGUGUUGAUCUUGUAGGUGCAUGAUAAGUGUGGGUAUUGAGUGGUUCGGCCAGCUCAAGGGAAAAGAUGAAGGAAUUGAAGUUUAGAGCCUAGGAUUCUAGGGAGAAGCAAAGUUGAGCACAAAUUGGCAACAUAACUUUACUCACAAUAAACUUGAAAAUACAAGGUGUAGGCUCCUCCUUUUAUAGGCUAAGGAGGACCAUAAUGCAACCCUAAUGCUAGCCAAAUGAAAUGUAAAUGUGAAGCACAUGGGUGCACAUGGCACAUGGGUGCACAAAUGAGCACAUGGGGAGGGGUGUGUCUAGUUUUUAUGCUCACCCCCUCCAUGGGCUUUCUAGACCGGCCUUGGUAAAUUUAGAGGUUUUUUUAGAAACUCUAAGUUUACCUAGGAUGGUGUUUUAGGUGCCAAAAUUAAUUCUAAGAAAAUUACAAAUAAAGUUCCUAUGCUAAUUUUGACAAGAAAUUAAAGUCUACUCUACACUAGAGUUUAUGGCAUUUGAACAUGUAAAAGAACGUCUUCUUGGAUUCUCUUGGCCAUAACUCUAUGGUUGGCCCAAAUCUACCCUUUGGUGGGCUUGCAUGUGGGCUUGUGUUUGGGCCUCUUCCAUCACUUGGGGUGAAUGUAUUCGCUUUGCGGGCUCGUCUCUGCAGGGAAAGUACCUCGUACCUCGGCUUCCCCAAACGAACCGCGCAGGUGCCCUGCUUGGAUGAGUUCUUCGAUUUUAUCCUUUAAAGCUUGAAAUUCUUAAGUAGAAUGCCUGUUGUUCUGAUCAUAUCGACACCGUUUUCCUCUGUCGGCAUUAUCUGAGCUUGCUACCUUUCUAGGGGGAGGGAUCAACUUGACGUUGAGUGCCUCGUAGAAUUCUUCCCCUCUCAACCGUCAAAGGGUAUACUUAGAGAACCGGUUUCCCCAACUGUCUCUACGUCUGUCGCCACGAUGGCUCGAUCGACCUUGGCGCUCCUUCUCCUCCUUUCCUUUCUCACCAAUGGCUUCUGCCCGGGCUUGGUUACGAAAUUCCCUCAGCUCCUCCAGUUGCAUGAAUUUAGCUGCUAUUUUCCUGAGCUCGUCUAAGCUAGCGGCCAACUACAUAUAGAGAUUUUUGGAAAAGGGUCCCAGUCGCAGGGUCGUUAGCAUAUGGUGCAUGGCAACAUCCGGACUAAGGUUCUGGAUGCUCAUUGCCACCUUGUUGAACCUGUCGACGAAUGUUCUCAGAGAUUCUCCCUUCUCCUGGCGAAUGCCCACCAGGGUGAUGGAGGUCAAGUGAUGUGGUCGGCUAGUGGCGAACUAGGUCUCGAACUUCGAUAUGAUUGUUGCGAAGCUGUCGGCGGAAUUGGUUGAGAGUUUGGUGAACCAACUAAGGGUUCCUCCCUUCAGGGACGUUCGGAACACUCAGCACAACACCGCAUCAUCCGACGUGUAGAGACUCAUAUGGGUGGUGUACGCGUCCAUAUGCUCGUCCGGUUCAGUUGUGCCAUCAUACUGAUCCCUAUUGAGGCCCUUCCACUUGUCCGGUAGUGGAGCUUCUAUGAUGACGUUGGUGAAGGAGUGUCGACGAACCAAAUCAAAGGUAUCAUUCGUCCUGGCUGACUUGUUGAGACUGGAGUCACCAUCCAUCUCAUGGAUGGGAGCCUUGUCCUUGGUCUCCUCAACCGCUCUCGGGUUGGGAGGGGAGGUGAAUGACCUACUGACUACGUUCAUCGGCCCAACGGAUGAUCCUCCCUCCACCAACUUCUUCCUCAUGUCCUCAUUUUUCAUGCGGAGAGCCUAUAUUUCCUGCUCGUUUUUCCUAGUGACUUCUUCAUUUUUUUUCUUCAUCUCGACCAUUUCUCUCUGCAGAGACAACAACAACGCCAUCCGGUCGGCUUCGCUCAUCCUCUCCAUGCUUCGGGUUAAUACCAUCUACUAUUGCUUCUUCAAUUGAUUUCUCUCGACCCCACGGUGGGCGCCAAUUGUUCAUGCUAGGGGGAUGAGACCUAAAGAACUAUUGAAAAGCUUCGUCUUCUUCCUUCUUAUCAGGCGAUCGGUCUAUGCUUCAGGUUCCUCUUCUAAGCUUCUCACUACUCCUUUAGUCUCGGUUGUUCGAUCACUCGGUCUUCUAGAGAAUACCGGGGGAGGGGGGGGGGUUACCUACAGAAGGCACUCUGACGCUCAAGUCAACAAAGGGGGUUCGGUACUUGGUUGUCAGAGCACAGUAAUAAACGUACCUGCUUCUUGGAAUGUGUGUUAUUUAAUGAGCCUACCUUGUUGGAUCGGAUUAUUGAGGUGAAUCGUGUUUAGAGGUGUAUUACCUAGUUCUUAAUGAUGACUUAGCUUCACUUACUUUGAUUGAGUGUAAUUGGACCAAAGAUGUCGACCCACACGGACGUGGAACAUUUAGUCGGUUCAAUUGUAGGAACUGAGACAUGAUAUUAAUCGCUCGUUCCAUAUCAUUACAGGAAAAAAAUUUGAUAAUAAUUAAAGAGAAGAAUGUUUUUACAUAUAGUUAGAGAUAAAAUGCAGCAUUACGUUACUAAAUUGAAUCGUGCACCUAAAAAUCAUCUUAUUAUAUUAAUUUAAAAUCUUUUUUAUUAUUUAACUAUUUUUUUUUUCUUAAUUUAAAAUAUUUUUUUCUUAAACUAACUAGAGUUUAUUAUAUUUAAGGAUUAAAAAAGAAAAUUUAAAAAACAGGAAUAUAAAAAAAUUACAGAAAACAAAAUCAGAUACGAUUUAUAUUUAUCUUUAAUUCUGUAUUUAUAAAUAAAUUAAGUCGCUUUUAAUAAGAAAAAAACUUAAGCUAUUCAACUCUAACUAUUGUUAUCUUAAAAUUUGAUCUGAUCGUUAACUGUGAAUUCCUUAAUUGACAUUAAUUAAAAUAGUUAUUUUAUAGUGUUGACCCGGUUAAGGCGUAUAACUUUUCCUAUUAACUUUUUUAUUAUUUUCUUCUUUUUCAUUUAAUAAAUAAUUUUAAAAAAAUUACAUUCGCUGUCAAUCAGUGUUGGAUCGCAACAUUUAUCUUUUAUUUGGGUAGUUAAUUGUGUUCCAUAAACAAAAAAAAUUCAGAAAAAGUAAGAUUAAGUUAAUUAUUAUUUUAAAUUAAAAUCAAUAUAUACACUUUCAAUUUUAGGGUGGUAAGAUUUUCUCUUUAUGAAAAUAGUGUGCUAAACUUUAAUUUUGUGUCAUUUGAUUUUCUUCAGGGAAUAUCAAUUUCAUAAACCUUAACUUUCAUAUGAUUUGUCUUUAAUUUUUUUUUCAUAGUCACGUUGAUUUUUAAUUAUUUAAAAAAAAUCUUAGAUAUUUUUUUUUUUAAUUACAAUUAGAAUACUCACUUAAAAGAAAGUGUAAUUCAUCUUAAAUAUUAAUAGUUACAACUCAUUUUUUAUAUUUACGUAUAAUGAGAACAUGGAUUUAGAAAAUAUAAAAGGGAGGAAUAAUAUAGUUAAUAAAAAAUAUAGUUUAUUUUUAAUUCUUAGUUUAUUAAAUUUUAAUGUUUUGAUUAAUUAAAUAGAAGUUAAAAUAAAUAAACAACUGAGUUCUUAGUUAUAGUGUGUGAUAUCACCCUACUUAAUAUACGAACUAUAUUUGAAAUUGUGAUAAUUUUGAAGAAAUAAUUAAUGUAAAAUUGAAAUAUUAGUGUCUAUGUGAAAAAAAAGUAUCUUUAAAUUCAAGGUGUCUAUUUAAAAAAAAUAAAGUAUUGAAUUGAUAAAAAAAAAUUAGAAUGCUUAUUUGUAAAAAAUAAAGUUUAAAAGAAUCAAAUACUUUCUUUUUAAAUUUUAUGAAAAAAUUAUUUAAUUUUACAAAAAUAAAAUUCAUGAAUUGAUUUAACUUGUGAAAAAAUUAUAAUUUUUUUCUUAUAAAUAUAUGAAUAAGUUUAUCCAGAUAAAAUAGUUAGCUUUAAUGAUUUGACUAUAUAAGAAACGUAGUAGUGUUUAAUAGAUUUGGGGUAAAUGAAAAUUAAAACUUAAUAUUUCUAGAAGGUCAAAUCGAAGGAAAAAUAAUAAUCAGCAUACACGAUUCCUUUUGUUUUAAGAUUUGAUUUAUUGUGUUGGAUUAAGCAAUGUUUUUGCUCUGUUAAAAAAAAUGUGAUGAAACAUACACCUCAUGUAAUACUAAGACUCGUAAUUUAAAUUUUUAUUUAAUUGGGAAAAUAUACAACCAAAGCAGUGGGGUUACACACCAACCAAACCACAGAUUCAUAGCACUUCAAUAACCAACCACACACCACAAUUUUCUCUCACUUUUUUUUUUCACUCAUAAUGCAGAUCACAAGAAAGAAAGAAAGAAAAGCAGAAGUCACAGCCCUCACUGCUAUGGUCACAUACACCUGCAUCAGACAAGGAGGAAAAUAAAUCAGAACAUAUAACCUUAGUAAUCAUGUUCUGCCAUACACCUAUAUAGAAAGAAAAAUGUUUCUUUCACACUCUUUCAAAAAAUUACAUUCAUUUAACAAUUUAUAGGCUAAAAAUGAUAGCUCAACACACAGGGUGUCAUUGUGCUAAAAUGUAUAAUUUCCUUAGAUCAAAGUAACAGAAGAAAACAAGAUCAGAAAUUUCCUAAUUCAUAAUCAUGUUCCAAACACCAAAGAAUAAAAUCAUGGAGAAUAUUGAUAGAGCAGAGACAAGAUAACAAAAGAAGAGUUCACCUUAAUUAUAGCUUAACAUAUAUAUAUAUAUAUAUAUAUAUAUAUAUAUAUAUAUAUAUAUAUAUAUAUAUAGGUGUAGAUAUAUAUAUAUAUAUAUUUGUAUUGCUGCUGCUGCUGGCGGGGGCGCGCGCGCGAGUGCGCGAGAGCGUGAGCUUCUUCUUCUUCUCGCCCUCAGCACCUUCACCGUGGAUCUUGUCCUUGAUCUUCUCUACGAACCCUUGUUUGUGCUCUUCUCCAUGGUGUUCUGGCUUGUGCUCCCCUUUGUGCUCACCAUGGUACUCUCCUUUGUGUUCACCAUGGUGCUCUCCUUUGUACUCACUAUGUUCACCAUGGUGCUCCCCUUUGUGCUCCUCCUCCUUCUUGUGCCCUCCCACAUGAAGGGUCUCCCCAAUCUUGUGAAUGAUUCCUGACAUUGUCUCUCUUUCACUUAGCUUCUUCCGGUUUUGGUUUUGGUUUUUGUUUUGGUUUUGCUGUGUUCUUACCCCAAGAGAUGAACGGUAUUUAUAGGAAGAAAGUCAGGUAUAAAGGAAAAAAAAAUGCUAUCCAUCAUUGAAAUUACUGGAAUGACCAUCAACGUGUUCUUUGCGUGUAUUCGUUUAUAACUAUUUUGUUUACUGAUAAAAAAAUAUAGAAUCAUAUAUACCUCACAUGAUUUUCUUUUUUAUAUACUUGUGACAGCUGUAAUGUUAUGUAAUUUCAAGAUCAAUACGAAUAUGAUGUUUUACUUAUACUUUUAAAUGGAAAAGCAGUUAUAUUUGAUUCAAGAAAAUAUAACAGAAACAAAUUAAUGAGAGGUGUGAAAUUAAAGUAUGAAUGAUGAAUUAAUAAGAGAAGGAGCAAACACGUGUCGAGUGGUUAAGGGCUGAGACAAUUGUGUCGCUAAUAUUUGUGCAUUUGUAACCUAACUGUAGCUUUUCUGGUGUAAUACGGAACCUAUUGAGAGAAACAUCCUAUGCUUACUAAUUGAAGAGACAAAGAAAUAAAUCUUAAAGUUGGGAUGUGGCAAUGUAUUAUGCAAAUCAUGACAAUGUCUGUCCAAAAUUUAGGUUAGGUACAUUCAAUCAGAUAUUAUUAUAUAUUUCUAGUCAUUAACCCUGCAUUCUAGAUUCUACUUUCAGAACAAUUUCUAUCUAUUUUUUAUUUCUUUAUUUUCAAAAUCAAAAGCAUGGAAAAUCUUACAACUCAAUGGGUUUUUUUCUUUCCUGUAAAUAGUCUAAUUUCAUUUGAUAUUUUCUGUGAAAUAAAAACAAAAAUUAUUCUGGAAUUAGACAAGUCCUACUUAACCCAUUUCAAAAAAUACACAUUAUUUGGAGAAAAAAAUCAGUCAAUGAUGUAGCCCCCCCAAAGAGAAAAAGAGGUAUGUAUGAGGACAUAAUUUAGUCCAAAUCCAUAAUAUGAUUCCCUUUGUUCUUAGUCCUCUAAAACAAAAAUAAAUCAAAGAAUAAAUUGCAAUUUUAGUAAUUAUGUGAUACCUUUUCUUUUCUCAAUUUGAAUCUCCUAAUUUUAAAAAAAUUGUAACUUUAGCUAAUUAUGAGUUAUGCACACACUUUAUCUUUAUUUCAAUUAAUCAAAUGUUUCAAUUGUAAUUUAAAUAAAACUUUAAGUUUAGAUAUGAAUUGUAUCAAAAAAAAAAAGAAGAUUGAAUUCACAUUAUUUUGUUAAAAAAUUAGAAGAGAGUACACUAUUAUUUAACCCAAACUAAAGUAUAGAGGAUAAAAGAGUAAAAAGAAUGGUAGUUUGAGAAGAAUAAAUGAAUAAAGAAAGAAAAAUGAUUGUAUUAUUUGAAAAAUAGUUUAAAGCAUGAUGGAUGAAAUAGGGUAGCGUGGAAUAGGGGAGAAGGUGACCCACCGACCAUUAUGGGCCAUAAAUGAAAGAUCCAAAAGAGGAUAAGAAGGGCCCACUUUCCGUAUCUGAAGAAGAGAAAGUAGAAAACAACGUUAUUCCCACUAUCUUUUUCUUUCUGUUACCGACUUUAAUUUAAAAUACAAUUUUUUAACGAUAAUCCCUUAAUUCAACUUUUAAUAUCUUAUAAAUUUAAAUAUUUUAAUAAAUUUUACACAAAAAGAUGUUACUCAAUCAAGAAAGAGUAAGUUAGUCAACAAGUUUAAUACUAAGUAACGACUUAUUAAGAGCAAAAUUCAAUUACUUAAAUAAAAAUGAAAAUAUAUAUAUUCAAUAAAAAAUUUAAUAUUUAAUUUAAAUUAAAAAUGCAAGAAGUAAAAAUGAGAUGAUAAUAUUUUUGUUAGAAGUUUUUUUCCAUAAAUGUUGUAAGAAAUUAGCUAAGAAUUAUAAGUACUCAUUUAAAAAUACAGCUGAUAAAUAGAUUUUAAUAAUAUUCGAUAGUUGAUAGCUAUUUUUGAAGCGAAUCCGUUUUUUUGUCUCAUUGGUUUUGAAGAUGACGCGUGGAUGGUUAUAAACCUGCCGACACCGUUGAAUGGAACCGCCCCUGACAGUUUUGUUCAGUUUUUGAGAAAUAAAUAAUAAUAAUAAACUUUUAACGUAAGAAAAAUUAAAUCGUACCCAAUUCUCAAGGCUGUAUCAGAUAUUUUAUUUUACCAAACCUAAAUAUAUUUAAACAUUAAAAUAGAUCUAACGUUAUUAAAAUAGUGUUUAUUGGGUUCCAAAUAUUAAGUAAAACUAAAUUAACUCCAUUAAUAAUUAUUUGAAUUAGGUCAAUGGGUACUCCACAUAAUAAAAAGGUCGUUUUUUUUACAAUUUUAAAAAAAUAUUUUUUUCUUAUUAAUUAUUUUGAUUAUGUAUAGAUUCUUUUUGUAAUUCUAUGAAAAAUAAAACACAAAAAGUUAACUUAUCAUUAUGUUGUAUUUAUUUUAUCAUAAAUUAACUCAUAAUUUAUAAAGAUAUUUUUAUUCACUAUAUAUUUUGACUCAUCCUUUUGUUGUUCUAUUCAAACAAUUUUUAGAUAAAAAUUAUUUAUUUCUAAGAAUUAAUUAUUUAAAAAAGUGUUUUUCCUUUUAUACAAAAUGCUGACAGUUGAAUAUAUAAUAAGUUGACCAAUGAAAAAAAUGGAUAAAACUCUUAAAUAUGACAUGGAAAUAUAGAAAUUAUAAAAAGAAAUUGUCAUGUACACUAUGUUUUAAGAACUUUGCCUUAGAUCAAUCUAGCUCAAAAAAAAAAGACGUUAAAACCUAUAAAUGAGUUAUCUAGUAAAAAAGCUCUAAAUAAUGUGUAGGGAAGAAGACUAAAAACAACAAAAUGAUUACUUGUACAAAAUAAAUAAAAAUAUUGUGAAUGUUUAUUAACUAUUAAAAAACUAGAUUAAGAAAAAAAAACUAGUUAAUAUGAAAGAAUUCAUAUUAAAAAGGAAAUGCAUUCAUUUGUUGUACGAGCUUGCAGUAUAAAGCAACCCACUCGUUUCAAAAGCAAAUUGGUAUCAUGAUUUUCACAAACCUGUCCAGUCAACUAAGACCAUCUUGACCAUCACCUAAUUUUGUUGUUGUAAAUUAUGAAAAUAAUAAUAAUAUUUUUUGUUAAUUUCAUUCUAUUAUUUUAAAUCUUUUUAAUUUGAUUUCAUUUUAAUUAAUAUAAAUUUUUCAGAAAAUUAGAAAUAGUACCAUCUAAUAUUUAUUUUUCAUAUUAUGUGUUAUUUUUGUUAAUAAGUCACAUGUCACGUCUAUUAUUAUUAUUAUGACAGAUUAAAAGUGACUAUGUUAAUUCAUUUAAAAAAGUAAAAUUAAAUUGAAAAUGUUUAAAAUAAUAAGAUUAAAUUAAAAAAAACAUUUAAAAAAUUAUUAAAUAAAGAAAAUUAUAUAUGUAUGAUAUUCUUUUAGGGCAAAUAAUAAUGAAAAAUUAUAUAUGCAUUAUCUUCUAUUAGGACAAAUAGGAUGCGUUUGGUGGUUUCUUAUGUGUAGUUUUGUCCUCAAAGAAAAAAAGUGAUUUUCUUCUUCCCAAAUUGGUGAGGUAAAGCAAUGUAGAUCACCUUAAUCGGUAAUGUGAAUAUAAUAGCUUACAAAGUCUCCUAUUUGAUUUGCGUGUACAUUGCUUAAUUUGUAGUUGAUUUACAUCACAUAGGCGGAAAGUUAUUUGUAGUAGAUUUUGUUGCAUAGUAUCUUGGAAAUGAGUUUCACUACAUCAAACUUUAUAAGUUAGGUGUGUAAGACUAUAUAUCAUGGAUGAUCCGAUAACGGAUUGAUAGUAUGUGACAUGAUAAGUCCAACAAACAAUCGCUAGGAUAGGAAAUGACUCUGAUAUCAUAUUGAAAAUUGGACUUUAAGUUUAACUCAACUUCAUAAAAUCAACUUAUAAGGUGAGGUUUGCACCUACUUAUAUAUUAUGAAAUGUCCUAAUCUUUAAUUGAUCUGGGAUCUCCAACAAUAAUUAAACUUAGUGUCAUCAUUGGAUACACUACGUAAGGAAACAAAUGUGAGUAAAUUGUCAUCAUGGGGACACUACCUGGGAAACAAAUAUUAUUGUUGCCUAGACCAACAGUAAAUGUAAUAAAAUAUUAUUAAUUUUUGCAUCCACUUUGUGUUCUCAUUCUCUACGCAUUAUCAUUCUGCGAUUUAUUUUUUAAUUGUCUCUACUUUGUAUCUCCAUUCUAGACGCUAACUUAUUAUUAUUUUAAUAAUUUAGUGUGAGUUAAAGGUCUUCACUGUUGACACAAUAUUUGACAUUUAUUUUUGUGUCCAACUUGAGUAGACUUCACUCUUAUUAGUGACUUCUUUUUUAUAGUCUUCGUUUUUUGUUGACAACUAAAAUGAAUUUUUCUUAUAGUGCCUUAAGUGAAAAAAAUAUAAAAUAUGAGUUUUUUUAAGCUUAAAAUUUAUUAUCAUUAAAAUAAAGUUGAAUUUGAGUUUCUUAAAAAUAAUAUACUAUUAUGAUAAGAUAAACCGUAUUACAUAAACUACGAAAAAUGAUUUAAAAAAGGAAAACUAUACUUUCACGUAUAUUAGGAAAAAUAUAUAACUUUAUAAUUAAAUUUGAUAGUUUUAAAAAAAUAUAAUGUGGGAGGUGGUCCUGAUACUGCUACACUAAUCACUACAAGAAAAACGCGAAUUACAUACAGAUUAAAUUCCGUAUGUAAAUAUUAGCACCAUAAAAGAAAAAAUUACCAGUGAAUGGGAUUCAAAGCCAGGUUCCUUCAGCAAUCCUUCAACAACCAAGUAAAAUUUAACCACUACACCAAGCAAAUUCUUUAAUUUUAUUAUGAUUUUUAUUAUACUUAUUAUUAUUAAUAAUACUAACAAUACUAACAAUAUUAAUAAUACUAACAAUACUAACAAUAUUAAUAAUACUAACAAUACUAACAAUAUUAAUAAUACUAACAACACUAACAAUAUUAAUAAUACUAACAAUAUUAAUAAUACUAACAAUAUUAAUAAUAUUAAUAAUACUAACAAUAUUAAUAAUAUUAAUAAUACUAACAAUAUUAAUAAUAUUAAUAAUACUAACAAUAUUAAUAAUAUUAAUAAUAUUAACAAUACUAACAAUAUUAAUAAUAUUAAUAAUACUAACAAUACUAACAAUAUUAAUAAUAUUAAUAAUACUAACAAUACUAACAAUAUUAAUAAUAUUAAUAAUACUAACAAUACUAACAAUAUUAAUAAUAUUAAUAAUACUAACAAUAUUAAUAAUACUAAUAAUACUAACAAUAUUAAUAAUACUAACAAUACUAACAAUAUUAAUAAUACUAACAAUAUUAACAAUAUUAAUAAUACUAACAAUAUUAAUAAUACUAACAAUAAUAAUAAUACUAACAAUAUUAAUGAUACUAACAAUAUUAACAUAUGAAUCACAUUUAAUUUAUCUAUAAUCUACUUGAAUCUAAACAUAAUUUAUUAUAUUAUCUAUUAGUAUGAAUCAAAUUUAAUAUAUGUCAUACUCAUAGUCAUCAUAUUACCUAUUACAUUAAAAUCAGCUAUUAUAUUAAUUAUUAUUUUACGAUCAUAUUGACUUAAUUAAGUUCAUAAUAGGUAGUUGGUUUUACUUGUGUGUUAUAGUAAAGAAUAUUGUCAACAAACAAUAUUAUCUUUUAACAUAAAAUGAUGACUUUUACAUUAACUAUUAAUUAAAUCUCUAAUACAGAUUACUAGUUAGCAUAUCAUUAUAGUUUAAACUAUAUUAAUUAUUCCAUAAAUCUAUGUAAAAGGUUGUUACUAAAUAACCCUUUCUACUAAUAUAUAAUAUAAAAUCAUAAUGACAAAGUGAUUAAAUAAUUUAUAAUUUAAAAUAUUUUAAAAAUUAUACAUUAUAUCAAUUUUAAUCUAUGUAAGUAAAUAUUUGAAAAUAAGAUUUUUUUUAUCGACAAAGAAUAAAAAAAAUUAAACAAAACACUUUAAGGAUAUUUCAAUCCUUAUACAAGAAUCUCAAAUUAGAAAAGAAGUGUAAGAUACAAGCACCUAUAUAGCCAUCUAACAAAAACUUCACAACUACCUAUAAUAACCUAUAUUUGAAAAUAAGAUAUCAAAUAAUUUUAUAUUAAUAUAUAUAUAUAUAUAUAUAUAUAAUAUGAAAGUAAAUUUAAAUUUAACCAUGAGUUUUAAAAAAUUAAUGAUUAAAUAAAGAAAUAUAUUAAUCAAUAUAUAUGUAUUUAUAGUAUUAAAUUUAUAUUAAUAUUAUAUAAUUUAUUUUAUUAUUAUUAAUUAUAUUAAUAUGUAUAAAUUAUAUUAAUAUGUAUAAGUAUAAUAAAAAUGAUAAUAUGACCAAAGAACUUGUCUGGUCUAGUGGUCAAUGCUUCCCUUGGUCACUGGAAAGACUUGGGUUUGAAUCCUGGCUGCUUCAGUUUGCUUGUAACAUUAUUUGGGUCUUGGUUUCGAGUUCUAUGGGCUUGGGUUUGAGUCUUAGCCAGUGUAAAAUCCAGGAAAACUGCUAAGGCAUUUCUAUCCAAAAAGUCGCAAUGAAGGUCUCUUAUUUUUUUUUUUUUGGAAUGUCGGAGGACGGACAAACCACUAAAUUAUGGAGAUGUUGUUUAAUUUACUUAAACUGCAUAAACCUCUUCUUGUUUUUCUUGUUGAACCUAUGAUGUCGUACACCGAUGUUUUAGAUGUUUUUUUUUUUAAAUCUGUUAAUCGACAUUUGGUUGCUACGUCUCCUAUCAUUAAUAAAGUUGCUAAGCUUUGGUGUUUGUCGGUUCCAAAUCUUGUCCAAAAUUUCUUGGUCAAUGAUCAAUUUAUUUUUGUAACUUGUCUUCUGCAUGAUAAAUGCUUUAGCUUUAGAGGUGUUUAUGGUGCUAACACAUACUUGGUUAUACGACUUUUGUGGAGGGAUCUUAAUUUCUUCAAGAUUUCAAUGUAUUUUAGGAGAUUUUAAUGUUGUACUCUCGACUGAUGAUUGCAAAGGGGGGUGACUCCAAAUCAGGUUUCUUGUAAUGAAUUCCUUGAUUAGAUUAAUACUAAUGAUCUGACUUGUAUGUCUUUUACUAGACCUUGUUAUACUUUGUGUAAUGGGAGGAAAGGGUUACACAAAAUUCAUAGAAAACUAGAUAGGGCUAUAUGUAAUGGAGUGUUCCUGGAUGAAUGAGAUUCUUGUACUUAUCAGGUUCUUGUUAAAAAAGAUUCUGACCAUUCCCCUAUUCUUGCUAGUAAUUUUUUAAGGAAGGUUAACAAUUUUUGUUUCUUUUCGAUGUGGCUUCAGAAUAGUUCAUGUAUGAAGCUUAUUCAUGAUUUUUGCGCUAAUACGGUUGUUGAUUGUCCUAUGUUUAUUUUGCAACAUAAGUUAAAAAUGUUGAAAAUUGAGUUCCGAGCUUGGAAUAAAAAUUCUUUUGGUAAUGUUCACAAUGCAAUGCUUCUUAAGUAGAGUCUCCUCCUUGGUAUUCAACAAACCUUAGAGACUGCUAGUUUGUCUGAUAUAUUGAUGGACUUCUCUAUCAAGAAAAGAUUGCUAAGGAUGAACUUUAUCAUGCUCUUCACUGUCAAUAUUUGUUUUGGAAAGAAAAGGUCAGGAUGCUCUAGUUUAAAGAUGAGGAUAAAAAUACUGUUUUUUUUUCCAUGUUGUGGUUAAGAGGAGAAAUAAAUCUAGUGACACUCAUCGCGUACGGAUUGAUAAUGAGGUUAUUGAGGAUCAUCAACUCAUUAAGGAUAAUAUUUUGGAUUUUUAUAAAAAUCUUUACGCUGAGUUUGUUUCUAAUGAUCAUGAUAUAGGUAAUGUGAAAGAUUUUAUUGGUAAUUAUAUUCUUGAGUUGGUUUCCUCUUAGGAGAAUAUGAUGUUGAUUAAAUGCCCUAAUUAUUUGAAAAUCAAGAAUAUUAUUUUUAAUCUUAAUGGUAAUAAUGCUCUUAGUCUUGAUGAUUUUAGAGGUGUUUUCUAUCAUUCUUGUUGGGAAAUUAUUGGGAAAGAUGUUUGCAAAGCUGUUCAACAAUUUUUUAAACAAAACUGGGUUCUUUCUGAAAUGAACAACAACGUGGUAUCUCUUAUUCCUAAGAUCCAGGGUGCUGAAUCCAUUAAAGAUUACAGACCGAUUGUUGUUGCUAAUUUCAAAUUUAAGAUUAUUUCCAAAAUACUUGCGAAUAGGCUUGCAAUUGUGGCUGCUAGAAUCAUUUCUCCUAAUCAAUGUGGGUUUGUGCAGGGUAGACAAAUUCAAGAUUGUAUUGGUAUUGCUUAUGAAGCUAUUAACAUACUUUCUAAAAAGGUUAGAGGAGGGAAUUUGACUUACAAAGUUGAUAUUCAUAAAGCAUUUGACACUCUGAGUUGGAAGUCUUUAUUACUAGUUUUGACAUGCUUUGGUUUUCAUCCCUUGUUUGUCGGUUGGAUUAGUACAAUUCUUCAUUCAGCUAUGCUUUCUAUCAGGAGAAAUGGUAGUUUGGUGGGUUUUUUCCAUUGUCUCCUUUACUUUUCUGUCUUGUAGAGGAAGUUCUCAGUAGAGGUAUUCCUAAGCUUGUGAAUGAUAAGAAGAUUCUGCAUAUGGUUAGUCUGCAAGGUUAUGUCACUCCCUCUCAUAUUUUAUAUGUUGAUGACAUAUCUGUUUUCUAGAGGACGAAUAAUAAAUCUCUUAGAAAUUUGAGUCUUUUCUUAGAAUAUAUGGAUAUUUUUCGGGUCAAUAUGUUAAUAAUUCUAAGAGUAGUUUUUUCACCAUGGAUAAUUCUGCAAGAUUUGUCACCAAAAUUCAACGUCUUCUUUCUUGUAGUCAUGGUUGCUUACCUUUUACUUAUUUAGGAGUACCUAUUUUUGUUGGUGCUCCAAAGUGAUGAUUUCUUCAACCUUUGGUUGAUAAAGGCAAAUUGAAGCUAGCAUCUUGGAAAGGUAAAUAUCGUAGCAUGAAGGGUCAAAUUCAGUUGGUUAAUACGAUGAUUACUGAAUUUUUAGUUUAUAGCUUUAAUAUGUAUAACUGGUCUGUUUCCCUUACAGUUGAGCAGUGGUGUAGAAAUUUUAUUUGGACUAGUGAUAUUCUGAAAAAAGGUAUAACUAUAGUUAAUUGGGCUACGAUUUGUACUUCUCUUGAGAAUUGAGGUUUUAAGAUUAUUAAUAUUCAUCAUGAAAAUAAUGUGUAUCUUCUUAAGCUUGCUUGGAACGUUGCUUAUAGUAACAAGUUUUGGUAUUUUCUCCUAAAAGCCAGAGUUCUUAAAUCAAAAUACAAGUUUUGAAUGGUUUAUUGAUCCUCGUCUCUUUGGCCUAGAAUUAAGCAGUUUUAUGCUACUAUACUUGAUAAUACUUCUUGGACUAUUGGUAUAGGUACUUUUAUUAAUUUUUGGAAUGAUAAAUGGUGUUCUACUACUUCUUUAGCUAACAUUGUAGGGCUAUCUGAUAGUGCUAGCAUUCUGAAUACAGUCUCUCAGUUUUGGACUGGUUGUGAUUGGAAUAUUCCCUUGUCUUUACAGCAGAUGCCUCAUUUUUUUAAUCAUAUCAUGGUUACGGAGGUACAAGAUAUUCCUAAUUGGAUUUUGAUGAGUUUGGUCGUUUCACUCCUAAAUCGAUUAGGACUUUUUUCUUGGAACCAGGAGUUCUUUGUGGUUAGGGUAAAUUCAUUUGGUCUUCAUAUAUUCCACCUUUCAAAACUCUAGUACUGUGAAAAGUUUUUCAUAGCCGACUUCCUAUAGAUCAUCAUAUUCAGCAUAAAAGUUUGCACAUAUGUUUUAUGUGUGUACACUUUGUGAAAAGAACGAGAAAUCUAUUCAACAUUUAUUUUUUGAAAUGUUCUAAUGUUUUGCAUAUUUGGAGUUGGGUUAGGCAAAUUUUUCUUACUCCUUAGUUCUCUAAUAAGGAAAAUCUUCUUUCUUUUAUUAAGAGUGACGAUAGUUCUUUGGUUAAAUUGCUUAAGCUUGUUGUGAUAACUUUUUUUAUUUGGAUGAUAUAGCGUAUGAAGAAUUAUACUAGAUUUCAGGAUAAGAUUGAUGUUUCUCGGGCUAUUUCGAUAAUUAAAGAUUUAACUUGUCUCGUGGAAAAUUCGUUUAAAGCUUCAAUGAAGAAUGAUAUGUUGGAUUUCAGCGUCAUUAAAUGUUUUGGUAUUAAUACUCGUACUGGUAAAGUUCUUUGUCAUCUUCCUGUUAGAUGGAAGUCCCCUUUUUUAGAGUGGGUUAAAACUAACACUGAUGGAGUUGCUAAGAGAUAUCUAGUCUUAUUGUGGAAGUAUGAGAGAGUUUAUUGGGGUUUCUCUGCAUUUCUUAAUGUUCAGACUGCUUUGGUUGCUGAGUUUUAUGGAGUUAUAUAUGAUCUGGACGAAGUUCAAAAGAUGGAAUUUACUAAUGUAUGGCUUGAAUGUGAUUCUACAUUGGUUUGAGCUACGUUCACUGUUAGGACUAUUCCGUAGAGGCUUCAUAAUCAAUGAAAUACUUGUCUUAAUUAUUAUGGAAAAAUCAGGUUUAAGGUUAUUUAUAUUUUUCGUGAAGGGAAUGCGUGUGUUGAUAAGUUGGCUAGUUUAAGAUUUAUUCAUAGAUAAUCAUUUUACUGGUAUAAUAGGCUCUCUUCUAGUCUUUUUCUAAAAUUCUUUAUAAAUAUGUAUAGUCUACCUAUCAUUUUCUUUAACAUACGAGUUUUGGUAUAGUCUUUUUGUAUUUCUUUUAAUAAUAUUUUGUUUAUAUGAUAGUAGAUGAUUGUUGUUACUGGUUACGUAGUAAUACCUAUAAUUUAAAAAAAAUUAUAAUUAAAUAAUAUAUAAAAUUUUAAAAUAAUAUUAUUAUUGAUUGUAAAGUAGAUGUUGAAAAAUGAUUGGAUGUGAAAGUAUGAACAUGUUUGAAAAACUCUAAAGUUUCUAUUGGGAACGCAUAUAGAAAUGUCUUUUAAAGUUAGGUUUUAUAAUGAUGUUGCAAAAUCCAUCUCUAAUUGAUCUACCUAAUCUAUAUUACAACACAUGCAAAUCAAAGACUAUAUUUUAUCAUGUGAAAUAAUUAAUAAAAUAAUAAAUGGUCAAAUCAUUAUUAACUAAUUCAGUUUGUGUGAGAUAUAUUUUAAUUUAAUAACAUUGUACAUGGUUUAUAUGCAUUUAUUAAUCUCAAAAACCGUAUAUUAAUGCUCACAUUGAACCAACCAAAUGAACUAUAUAUAAUCUAAUAACAAUGUACAUGGUUUAUAUGUUUUUAUAGUUUUAGUACCUUAUCCAUUAGUAUAAUCUGAGUUAAAAAAUCCUAAAACUAAGUUAUUGUGUAAGAAUCUAGGAGCCAUUUACCCCAUUUGGAAACUAUCUUAGGUCUCUUGUAGUUUAAUAAAAUGUAAACAGUUUAAUAAAAUGUAAACUAUCCUGUUAAUCAAUUUUCAAUUUUGUUUUUAUCUAUUUAAUUAUCCAAAUCUGUUCAACAUCCCCAUUAUGUCUAAAGAAAGAAGAAUAAUAAAGGAAAAGUGAUAAAAAAACUUAAAUUGAUUGGAUUAGAAAAAUUAUGACCUUUUUAACAAUAUUUGAGUAUAGCAGGAUUCAGCAAAACUGAUUGAAAUCUUUAUUAAACUAACCAAGUGUGACAUGGUAAUACUUUAUAUAGUUUUCAAUUCAUAUGCCAUAGAAGUUUAUUUAUUUAUACUUUUAUUUUCACUUUUCAGAGUCUUUUCUAUUGCUAUGUACAGUAAUCAGUUCCCCUUGUAAAAAGGGUGUUGCAGAAGAAAGGCUACAUAAUCUAAUAAGCAAGGGUGUGAUGAGGAGUGUUAGAAUCAUCGUCUACUACACGAAUAGGAACUAUUGGUAUUGCAUCCCACCAUUCCCUCAACCUUCUAUUCCCUGUUUCAGAGGGCUUUCCUAAUGUCAUAGUGAAGCUUUGGAUAAUGAGACCCAUAAGGAAGAAUUUGAAUGGAAUCACUGCCAAUAAGAUCGCCAACGCACCCAUAGCCACCAUCACUAAUUUUGCAUGCUGAAAAAGAAACAAGGAUAUGUAUGUAGUAAGCAAAAGCAACCACAAAUUGUAUGUCAUAUGCACAAAUGAGGCAAACAUAUUUGAAGAACAACUCUACCUUAUCAGCCUUUGAAAUAAGUAUUGACCAUAUCUUUAGCAUUGCUAUGUUUGCUAUCUGCAUCAUCUCAUGAACAGUGUACAAUCCUUGCUGGGCUGAGACAAUGCUCUCCAUCGUAGACUGAUCAGAAGACAUACUAGAUCUACUGAUUACUAUCUCGUUGCAUUUCUCAUAAGUCUUGUUUUUUCUUGCCUCAAUCAUCUUUCUUAUUGCCCAAAUCAACAAACCUGCAAAUGCCUUGCCAACCCAUUCCCUGUCAUCAUUAUCCAGGCCAUGUUACAUACUUCCAUUCUAGGGGUAGUUUUGAUUGGUAUAUAUAUAACAAAAAUUAACAAGUUAAGAAAUAAGAACUUACAUAUAGGUGAUCAUAAGGGAUGCAGCAAGAACAACAAGAGUAAGUAAUGGCCUUUCCCAUGAGAAGAUUUGUCGAAACCAAGGGACCACAAUUUUGAGUGGCUUCAGGAGUUCCUGUACAAAGAAAUCAGAAAACUAAUAUUAGGUCUAAACUGCAAACAUGCGAACCUUUGUUUCCAUUCCAGGACCAUCCUGAAAUCUGAUUCUCAAAUGAAGAGUUUAUGACAAAGAAUAAGGCAAUCUUUUACUAUAUCAUAGCCUACAACAUAAAAAUGUUGACCAUGAACUUCACAUUUCCCAAAGUAUAAAGAAAUUUAUGGAAAGACAUUAUAAUAUACUUUCUGCACUCAGAAACAACUCCAUUUUGGACAAUCAAGUGCUACUACUGCUUACUAGAGUUCAGCAAUUGAGGAUAAUUAGGGGCUUUGUUUAGGCUAAACUAAAUCCUUACCGUUAUAACCAAAACACUGUCAAUAACUCCUUCCUCCUUUAACUCUUCAGUGGUAGCUUUAGCAAUGAGAAUUUCCCUUUCUUCCUCCCUAGCUUGUUGGAUAGCGGUUUCCAAUGUAGGACUUCCGUCUACAUCAUAAACACUUUCAUCUGCUUGUCUUGCCUCAUCUGUUAUUACAUCAGAAACUAUUGUCUUAGAAAUGUUCAUACUACUAAGAAUGGAACUUGCACUACAAGACUGGCUAUUGUUGCUUUUAUUGAGGCUAUCCGCGAGCUCUUCCAGCACAAAAUCUCCUUUUGGUAUCUCGUUAUAUAGGGAAAAUAUUAAGAAUUUGGUAGGGACAGGAGGUGAUAUUCUUAGCAUUUCUCUUGCUGCAUGCAGCCUGAUGAUUCCCAACAUUGUCCUUGAAUGCAUCUCCCACGUCUGUGCUGGGUUUUUUAUCUGGUACUUGCAUAAAAACUUGUGGAGAAAGAUUAUUUCCCUUACUAGAGCAAGCCAAUGAUCACGUCUUGUAGAACUUGUAAGCUCUGGAAACUCCAGUACAACUGUCUCUGAUCUAGAAAUUUGUAAAGAAAAACUUAUUCACGUUAAUGACAAAAGUGAAGAUUAUAUAUAUUUCUGUAAUCAUAUUACAUUAAGGUGGUACUAACAAAUUUAAGCAGAACAAGGAUAUGACUAUGUCAAAGCUAUAAAAAUUAAUAAACCACACUAAAAAAUGUUAGACAGCUACCAAUCUGUUGCUGAGUUCACAAGUUCUUAGUUCAGACCAUCUUUAAAGGCAUCAGAUGUAGAAUUCACAAACUCUACGAUUCUUCAGGAAAUGUGUUCAUUUAAAAUUCAAGGACAAAAUUGAUCAUUUAUCCAAAAUAUAUAUAUUACGAAGAUUGAAUCGGUACUACAUAUUUUAAUGGACAAAACUGUAGAAUAGGUACUGAUGAUUAAUAAAAAGUGGUAUGCUAGUGUCCUUACAAAUCAGCUGAAUCAUAGGCUAUGGCUUUGUCAUAAAGAUGAGCUCCCCAAGGACCAGUGGCAGCAGGAUUAACACUCUGCUCAACAUUCUUGGAGAGGUCUAUUUUGAGAGCAUCUUCAUACUUGAUUACUCCGGAAGCCUCAAAGUAAAGAGAGUAAUUGGUCAGGGUAAGCCUGCCUGCCAAUUAAAACCAAAGCAACAUUUACAUUUUUUAUGAAUGCUUUUUACAAAUUCCAGAACAUUAUUAAAUGAAUGAUUAGAUAGAGCAAGCAGCUGACCAGGCCAACUUGUUGUUCCAAUGUGGCGAACUACUCUCUGACUCACGACUGUUCCAUCUACAUGUAAUAUAUAUUCAUCCUCAGCCAGUUCCACCCCAUUUGGUUUUGCCUGUUUCUGCAAAUGCCGUAUGCACCUAUGGAAUCAUGAAUUUAAAAAUGAAUCAUAACAAGAACUUGAACUUAUAAUGCACAACUAACUUCUGCUUUUAUGUGUCUUCUUCCUAAUAUGCUACUCUAACUUUCUCAUUUCUACUCAGUAGACUCAAACUCAUUCUUAACAAUUUGGAUAAUUCAUAUCUUGCAUAUCUUAUAUGUUCACCUAUCAAAUAAUCUAAUAUAGCUAUCAAGUUCUAAAUCAGAGAUAUUGAUAAACAGUAUUCCAAACGAAGCCUAAAAGGCAUCAGAUGAUUUUCCUAGCUAUUAUACUAAUGGACUCCAAAUGCUUGCAAAUGGACCAGGAAAAAAUAAAUUCAUAAGAUCAAUGCAUUACUUUUUCAUUUCUUUCAAGAACUUGUCGUAUGCUGGAAAAUGUAGCCUGUAGCCUGUCGAUGCUGUUAGAGUUUCAAAAGUAAACCUUCCAUUUGCUACAUCUGCAACUAAUGGUACUAAGGAUCCCAACCAUACAAAUGCAUCUUCUCCAACAUUGGGCUCAUCAUUAACCUGGCCAAUGGUUUAUGAAUUAUGAUACGAAAACAAAAUUUACCAAGAGAUCACUUCAUUUGAAAAUAUCUAAACUCCUAAAACCAUAAAUAUUUUGUUUACUUCUAUCAAAUUGGCUUGGUUCAAAUGCAAGAAAUAUUAUCCAUUCUUUUUAUAUAGACUAUUCAUAAACUAAUUUCAGUUUCAUUCAUUUAGAGGACAAGACCUGCAGAAGGCUGGAAUUCAAACUGAUUCUUCAAACAAAGGUAGGGUGGGGGUGAAGCUUAUAAAUCCACCAUCUCUAUGAUAAGUACAAGGAGAAAGGAUGGUCUUACAAGGAGGGGCAUGAUGUCUGAAUAGAAGAGAGGGAUAUCAUCCUGUUCUUCAGUGGUAUUCUUAGUUAUCUUCUUUUCUUCUUUCGUUUCUUCUUUCGUUUCUUCUUUCUCCUUUGCUAUUGACUCCUGCAAACCUCAAAAGCCUCAUCGGAUUAAUAGCAUGAGUAGAAACAAAAACAAUAACCUUAGUUCAGAUCAAACAGGACAUAUCCUAGGCCAUCAAUGACCCAUAAUUUGAAGCCCUACUUUAGUUAGUAAAUGUAAAAUCACAUGUCUUAUAUCAAGAGAAUUUGGUAAAUACAAAUACAUUCUGGAACUGAUAUCCAAACUUUCAUUACUAAGAUACCUGAAGCAUAAAACCAGUCAACCACUGCAAUAUAAUCUCGGUCCCUAAUAAAACUUAUCAAAUAUCUAAAAUUUUUCCAUUUUAAUAGCUUAUGUUAGUUUAGUGUUUACAUUAUAACAAAACACAGUAAAAAAAAACUAUUCUGUAAGCAUUAUUCCUUUAAUUAAAGAUGAGUAUCGCUGAAAUGAAAAGCCAAUUUUUAUCUUGGUUGGAAUUGGUAUUACCGUAUGCUCUUCUUCCAAGGAGCUAGGUCUCUCCCAGGCAAGCAUCAUGUCAUAUGUCAACCUGCUAAAUGAGCCAUCAUUGAUGUUUCCCUCUAUGUUGUGGCGCAUUUCAUUCACAGCCUUCCCACUGCAAAAUUCAACUAAUUUUAUGCAGUAGUCUCCCAUUUCAGGUUUCCAUCCUCCUUCAAAAUCUUCCACCAAAGUCUCUACCGAAGUAUCCAAUUUCCUAAGUACCAAAAAGGAAAAAUAGUUAGCAUUUCAUGAUGACAUUUUUUUUGGUAACCAUGGCACCGUCGAGAACUUGCCUGUGACUGCACUUAUGAUUUAUUUCAAAACACAAUGUCUAAUCAUUGUUGAAAUCAAUAAUUUACACUGUUAGAGAUCUGCCUGUACUAAAUGUGAAAAUGUGGAUAUAGGUUCAUAAGUAGUAUGAUUCUGGACCACGGUAAUACAAAAUGGUAGUAACCAAUCUUGGUGACAUUUCAUGAUGAUCUACCACAAAACUAGAACAUGGAAUUAACACUUUAUCAAGAUAUUUCCAAUCUCUAGGAAAACAACUACACAACAUGGAGAAAGUAAAAGAACAAAAUACAACUCCUCUUUCUCAAAAGAAAUAACACAUUACAUAGUUGUCCUGUGAUUCUAACAACCUCGUAUAAGAUUAUUACUAUGAUUAGCAAAUAGUAUGUAGGAGGGUGUAGGAGUAGAGAGAGAUUACUGUGCACAUCUAUGGAUGACGUCCUCCGCAAUGGAAGACACAUACUUGAGUUUCAUAGCCAUAACCUGUGUCGGGGUUUUUCCUUCUAAAGUUCUCUUCUCUUCUCUCUCUCUAACUCUUUCAGUGUGUAAAAUAAGGUGAAUGCAAAGAGGCACCGAAAAUCUAAAGGUUUGAUCUAAUAGUAAUAGAAAAGAGGGUGAUUCGUGGACAUGUUCAUCAUUUGCCACGUUGCAAUGACCAUGCAACGCAAGCAUGCAACACUUGGUUCUUCUUCUGCGUCAUUAUCCAUCUUCGUUCUCGUGUAGCGGUGCUACGCAAAAGAGAAGAGAUUCAUAAGAUGAUAGAGAUAAAGAAAGCUUUUGAACGUUUUUCGUAUAUCUAGAUGGAAAAACAAUUAAGGUUUAUUUCAAAACAAAACAUAAAUGAUGCAAGCAACUCGAAAUUUCAAGAACUUUAAUUUUCUUAAUUUCAAUGAUUAAUAAGAACUGGAUUAUUACAAUAUUUUCUUAAAGCACAUGCAUCAAAGUUGUUUAUGAGGUAUUUUAAACUAGUUAUGAUUUUGUUUUACUGUAAGGACGAUAAACAUGACAAAUUUUAUAUACGAACAAAUUUAUUUUAUUUUUACAAAAAGAAAAAAAAACACUACAAGAAAUUUGAUUUUAAAAACUAAUUUACUGAUACCUAAAAAUGAUAAGAUAAUAAAAUUAAUCAGUAUUUUAAUUAAAGACUAAUUAAAAAUAUAUCAGUAAGUGACUAAAAUAUUGAGAUCUAAAGUUAGAUUCUGAUUCAGUCCCUGAAUUAUUUUGUACCACAUCUUCUAGAAAUAUAUUUAAAAUUGAUAAAAAAAUUCUAUUUAUUUUUAAAAUUUAACCUUUAGUAAGUAUUUUAAUUUUAAUUUCCGUUUAUAAAUAAAAUAUUCAAAUAACUUUGAGGCAAUGGUAUGUGAUCCAUUUUUAUUUUGAGGACAUAAUAAUAUCUUUAUUAAAUAUUUAAUUUUAAAAAAUAGAUCUUUAGAUAAAAAUUGGUUAUAUAUUAAAAAUUUAAAAUAUAUUUAAGCUUCAACAAACUAAUUCAAUGUAAUAAAACUCUGAAAAAAGAAUUAAAGACAAAAAAAAUAAUAAAUAAAAAAUUUAACAAAAUAAAUAUAUACACUAAUUUUUUAAUUAGUUAGAUUCAAAAAUUAGUUAGACUUUGAAUUUAAUCAUAUGAUAAAAAUUAACAUUUCAAAUCUAUUCCUAGCAUUCAAAUAUAUUAAGCAUUAUUAUUUGGGUUAGAAACAUAGAAGUACUUUCCAGUCAAAUCUAAGGAUCUAGAUCAAAGAAACGAACAUUACAAACAAAAUGACAAUACCAAUCAUCAAUCAAAAACAUAAUAUUAUAUAUAAAUAUCACCUUAAUGUAUAAGAGUUUGAACAAAUUACUCUUAAUCCCAAAGGGUAGAAUUAGUCAUUCAAGUUGCCUAUUAGAAGUAGGGGGAGUAAGAAAAGAAGAUCCUGGAUGUUUCUCCUUAACGACUACGUCCUCUAGGUUUUCUAACACCUUUUAUUCUCCCAAUUGGAUUCCAAUCCACUCAAUGAUCUUCAGGGUUGUACCUCAAGCCUCAUAUUUAACCUAGUUGGGCUUGGGCUAAGUGACUUCUCGCUAGGGCGUUAUUGGGCUCGCUUGGGUGAGUUGUCGAAAAAAGGUCCAACGUCACUAGAGUGAUCUCGCCUGGGCGAGAUUGGACUCGCUUGGACGAGAUCCUAUGAGAGGUUCUAGCUUGGGCAAGUUUGGACGAGCUUGGGUGAGAGCUGGUGUGUUCUAGCUUCCCCUUU